rfam:Clostridium amylolyticum strain DSM 21864 genome assembly, contig: Ga0131114_102
AGCUUUAUUACAGGCGUAAAAGAAUAAAUAAGCAACUAUAUUUGUGAAGCAAAACACGUAUAAAAGCGUA